UUAAUGGCUGUAAGUAUUUGGACAUACCCAUGGGUAAAAUUUAUGAAAUCACAUUAUAUUAAUGUGUUUCCUGUAAUUUGGCAUAUGAUUACAUUGCAUACUUCUGUAGUUAUUUUCUGUAGGUUUUGUUCACCCUGCCUUAAAUUAGAUAAAUACUUGAUGGUUUGAUCAGAAAUGGUAGUUAACAGAACAAAGCUAGUAAUUGGAUGUAUUCUUACUGAAGCAGGAGCCAUUCCACUUCAAUCCGGUGGUGAAGUUCCCAGUUCCGAUCAGCAAAGUGAUCAGAGAAACGGUGAGGACGUGCUGCAGUACUCUGCUCUGACUUUCCCUCAAAACACAACUCCAGCCGAGGCCAAGAGCGACGCGAUGGGCGGAGAGAGUGUCUACUCUGAUGUGAAAAGCUUUGGAUGGGACUGAAACUGACUAAUUCAAUGCUAAAAUUCCAGCAAAUAGAUCUUACAUUUUGUUGCCAUUGUUUCUACAAUUACGUUUCUGUCAGAAGAGUGUGAUUUAUGUGUGACAUACUUCUUUGCUGAAGCUCAUUGCUGUUGCUUGUUAUAAUAGGUAAUAACUAGUGGUAAAAGUGUUGUUGUAUUAGGAUUAUGCUGAAAUAGAUUUGAAUGUUGUUUUCUCAAACAAAUUGUUCGUGUACUUAUUAUCAUAUAGUGUUGAUAUCGUCAUCAAACUCUUUUUACACUCUUUCUGUCACGAUCUGAAUAUUAUCAAUGAACAAUUUCCUCUUCCAAAUGUCAUGCCUCCUCUUACCAAGAGAUGGCAGUAGUGUUAAAGAUUGAGAAUCAUAGCAGUCAGUGUUUGUGUUGACUUCUCUCCAAGUUCUUAAUAUACAGUGUUGCCUUCCUUCCCAGGUCAGCAGUGUUGCCUUCUUUCCAAUGCUUAACAUACAGUAUAAAUCACAUAAAUGGUGGAACAUCUCUGUCUUAGGCUGUUUGAGAAGGUUUGAAUCUUAAGCAACCUGUCUCUGUUAUUUCUCAUGUGAAUUUCCUUCUAUUUUCAGACUCAGUCUUUGUGUUUCAUUUCCAUGUUUUUAAACCGAAAGGUGAUUAUUCAACAUUAUAAAUUGUGUAUUUUGGGUCCUCAUGCUGUUUGGCUGAAACAGCAUUUCAGUCAUGUGUAUAUCAGACAAUAUACCACAGGUAUUACACAAAAACACAAAAACACAUUUAUAAUAGAACUAAGGUACUCUGGCCGCCUCGGUCCUUAUUGCUAUAUAGUACACAACAUUUUUAUAUGCUAAAUGUAUCUGAAAAUAAAUUGCCGCUUCAAAUAAAGUUCUUGUGAUUUUUCUUACAAAAUGAAUUUUC
rnacentral:lncRNA from 1 species